GAGGAGGAGUUAGCUGGGCACAGAGAGAAAGUGGAGCCCAUGGGAGAGGCCCAGGACAGGAGACCUGGUGGCCUCCAGGAACUGGGAGGAAACAGGGAGGAUGGAGGAGAGAGCAGAGUGCGGGGUGGGGUGGGGGUGACGGUGGAGGGGGUAAUGACAGUGACGGUGGUGGCAGCUGCUAAUUUUUAUUGACCUUGUUCUUGCCAAAUGGGUUGGGCCCAUCUGGGGUCGCCCUAUACCAAAUUCUUAGCUUGGGUUUCCCAGUGAAUCUAGGUUGCCAAUUCAUUCUAGGGCCAGGGUCUAGGCAUGAGGCGUUCCCUUUCCUUUUCUCCCUGCCUUUCUUGCUGUGGAGAGGACCUGUGCAGUAUUAUAUCAAAUGGUUCUUUUCAUCCUUCUGUUCAUCUAUUCAACUAGCCAACCAGCCAGUAAUCUGUUUUUUCAUUUGCUCAUUCAUUCAUCCAUGUGUUCAUUCAACAAACAUGAAAACCAUUUGAUGCAUAUGGCUGGCUAUGGCUCAGAGGGGUUUGGGAAGACUCUGACCUACUGCUUGUAGGACCUCAUAGGCAGGAAUUUGGUCAGAAUCUGAUUCAUAAGUUUGUAGGUCUAAAAACUAAUUUUUUUUUUCACCUGCCCAGAGGUUCUGGGGGGACUCAUUCAGUUUGUUUCUUUGUUUGUUUGUUUUGUCUUUUGUUUUUUCUUUUUGAGGCAAGGUCUUGCUCUGUCACCUAGGCUGGAGUACAGCGGCGUAAUCUGGGCUCACUGUAGCCUCUACCUCUUGGGUUCAAGUGAUUCUCCUGCCUCAGCCUCCUGAGUAGCUGGGAUUACAGGCAUGUGCCAUGAUGCCCAGCUAAUUUUUAUAUUUUUUCAGUAGAGACAGGGUUUCGCCAUGUUGGCCAGGCUGGUCUUGAACUCCUGACCUCAAACGAUCCAUCCAUCUUGGCCUCCCAAAGUGCUAGGAUUACAGGCAUGAGCCACUGCACCUGGCCCUCAUUCAUUUUUUAAUGAGGUCAUAAGACUGAUUUAGAAACCCAAAGACCAAAAAUCAAUUAUACCCCAAGCUUGGCUGGGUGGGAUAACCAAUACCAGUGUCCCCUCCUGCACAAAUUAAAGUCCAGAAGAGGGAUGCCUACUCAAGACAAUUCAAUAGAUUUUUUUCUCCUCAUGCCAAUGUGAAAGGCAAAUAAAUCUCAGGACCCCCAAAUCACUAAGCCAAAGGGAAAAAUCAAGCUGGGAACUGCAUCAGGCACACCUGCCUCUCAUUCUAUUCCUAAAUAAGACAGUUACAAGCGCCCCACCCCGAAGCCCGGGCUGCGAGGCGGAGUCAGGGCCCCCUCAGCUCCACCCCGAAGCUUGGCAUGAUUUGCCAUUUUACUGCUCCUCUGGAAUCUGUGCUUCCUCCCGAGCGCAGGAGGUUCCCCUGCCGCGGCUGCCGGCCCCAGGACCUGGAUGGAGAUCGCCCGAGGAGAAUCCGUUCUCCUGGUCACACUACAGAGGCCUAGGGGGACGAGACCUGCGGGGCCUGUCCGGACCCGAGGCGGCGCUCGGGAUGGUCUCCCGUGGAGCAGAAACGCCGUUUCCUGGGUGAGGACUCUUAGUCGCCCACCUGGACGGCGGCGGAGACAUCCGCGCCACCUGCUCCCCAAAUCCACCUGGACGCGCACUCAGCAGGGGUGCGGGGGAGGGGCUUCCUUCCUUGGGGGCCUCGCCUAGAGCCCCCGCCCCUGGGAUGCCCAGACCCCUUUCCCCCUAGCAUGCCCAGCCCCCCAGCACGCCCACCCCUCCGGCACACCUACCCCCACCCAGCACACUCAACCCCGCAGCACACUCACCCCCAGCAUGCCCACCCCCCAAGCACACCCCUUUCCCCCAACACACCCAUCCCCCAGCACGCCCACCACACCUCCCAGCACACCCACCCCCGCCCCUACCUGUCCUGCGGUGUGUGGGGCGGGGGGGGC
rnacentral:lncRNA from 10 species